rnacentral:tRNA from 1 species
GCGGAUAUGGCGGAAUUGGCAGACGCGCAGGACUUAGAAUCCUGUGGGCGACCGUGCAGGUUCAAGUCCUGUUAUCCGCACCA